rnacentral:rRNA from 1 species
GAUGAACGCUGGCGGUAUGCCUAACACAUGCAAGUCGUACGAGAGUUUUUAACUCUAGUGGCGGACGGGUGAGUAACACGUGAGAAUUUGCCUUUAGGAGGGGGACAACAAUUGGAAACGAAUGCUAAUACCCCAUAUGCUUUCGAGUGAAAUGGAUUUUAUCCGCCUAGAGAGAAGCUCGCGGCUGAUUAGCUUGUUGGUAAGGUAAGAGCUUACCAAGGCGACGAUCAGUAUCUGGUUUGAGAGGACGAUCAGACACACUGGAACUGAGACACGGUCCAGACUCCUACGGGAGGCAGCAGUGGGGAAUUUUCCGCAAUGGGCGAAAGCCCGACGGAGCAAUACCGCGUGAGGGAAGAAUGCCUAUGGGUUGUAAACCUCUUUUUCAGGGAGGAAUAAAAUGACGUGUACCUGAAGAAUAAGCAUCGGCUAACUCCGUG